UUGUAAAGUGGCUGUUCCACUGGAUGUCUUAAGGUGAACGCACCAAUUUGUAAGUCGCUCUGGAUAAGAGCGUCUGCUAAAUGACUUAAAUGUAAAAUGUAAAUGUAAAUUAUAUAGACUUGAGGGAGAAAUUGAUACCAUUCCCCAGAUCUGUGCCUCGACACAAUCUCGGAUCUCUACAGACAAUUAUUUUGACCUCACGGCUUGGUUUUUGCUCUGACAUGCACUGUCAACUAUGGGACCUUAUAUAGACAGGUGUGCCUUUCCAAAUCAUGUCCAAUAAAUUGAAUUUACCACAAGUGCACUCCAAUCAAGUUGUCGAAACAUCUCAAGGAUGAUCAAUGGAAACAGGAUGCACCAGAGCUCAAAUCGUAGUCUCAUAGCAAAGGGUCUGAAUAAAUAAGGUAUUUCAGUUGUUUAUUUUUAAUACAUUUGCAAAAAUUUAUAAAAAUCUUUCACUUUGUCAUUAUAAGGUAUUGUGUGUAUAUUGAUGAGGGAAAAAUGUAUUUAAUCCAUUUUAGAAUAAGGCUGUAAUGUAAAACAAAUUAGGGAAAAAGUCAAGGGGUCUGAAUACUUACCGAAUGCAGUGUAUGUACACUUGUUUAAUACAGUGAGAAUCAGAGAGAGGGUUGAGCCCACAUUGCUAACUGGAGUUUGUAUUGUGUAGGAGAAAAGAGUCUGGGUGGAGUUUGUAUUGUGUAGGAGAAAAGAGUCUGGGUGGAGUUUGUAUUGUGUAGGAGAAAAGUGUCUGGGUGGAGUUUGUAUUGUGUAGGAGAAAAGUGUCUGGGUGGAGUUUGUAUUGUGUAGGAGAAAAGUGUCUGGGUGGAUGCACAAGCCCUGGAGGUUGAGCUGACAGACUGGCAGAGAGAGCAGGAACCAGACACUGACCAUGAGGGCUUUUACCAUACCAGCCUGCCAACCAUCAUCACACAGGUUAACAAACAUACAAUCUACAUUAAGGCUGCUUUAAAAUGGUCAGUAUAUAAAAUGUUUGCAAUGUGGUUGUGGUAAAUGUUAUUUUAAUGCACAUACUUGAGUUGUGUUGGUGAUAUGUUGUGGAGGGUUUUGAGGCCUGUGAGUUGUGAUGUUCUGUUUGUGUCAUUGUUGUGUUAGAUGCUGGAGGGGAAUGCGCGGGUCUCUCUGAUGAUCAGUGAAUCACUUUAGGAUCAGACCACACAGGUGGGGCUCUAUGAGAUGGAGAACCUCAAUAGUUUCCGGGAGAUGCCUGUUGAAUUUGGGAAGGAGCAUCGCUGGGAUCAAAGCACAAAUAACAAGUUCCACCUCUAUCUACUGGCCUCUAAGAGACUGCAUCAUCCUCAUCCUCUAUCAACCCCUGGCUGCUCUGGACCGGGUUGUGAGGAUGGCCUGGCGAUAGGCCAACUACUGCUGGAGCUCCAGCCCUUCCUGCAGGGACUCCUGUCUCGCUCCUGACUGGCCCAGGGAUACAUCACGCUCACUUCGAAGUUAUGUGGCGUCCUGGAGCGCCAUAUUGAGAUGUAUAGUUGUGUUCGCCCACCCUGCCAUCACCUUUUGACAAUCAUAUUAGUCUGUAGCUGACUUAUACCAGUGUCCUGAGUAGCGUUUGCAGCCAGUGGCUGAUGGUGGUGGAGUAUGUGAGGGUGUUGAUGCAGAAGAGGCUGGUGUGUUGUAAUAUGCAGAGGAGCGACGCGAGCUGGCCCAGAGAAUGGCACUGGAUGCCCAGUAUCUGAGGGAUCUCUUCCAGGGCCUGGUUGUAAGGAUACACUUGAGUUUAGGUCCACACCAUACCCAACAUACACCUCAAACCACACCCUCCUUUGUUUUAAUUCACUGCACCAUUUUAUGUACAGUUUCCAUUUUCACAUAAAUACAAACACACUGUACACUAGCAGUCAAAAGUUUGGACACCAACUAAUUCAAGGAUUUUUCUUUAUUUUUACUAUUUUAUACAUUGUAGAAUAAUAGUGAAGACAUAAACUAUGAAAUAACACAUGGAAUCAUGUAGUAACCAGAAAAGUGUUAAUCAAAUCAAAAUAUAUUUUAUAUUUGAUAUUCUUCAAACAGCAACCCUUUGCCUUGAUGACAGUUUUGCACACUCUUGGCAUCCAUCUUCUCUGACACCCUGGUGCCUAUUCCUAGCAUGCCAUUCUGUCUGCCUACUGCCAUCUGUGCCUGACUACCAAUUUGCACCUUUUAAAUUCACUAAUCACACACACAAGCUUGCGGUUUAUAAGUUAUCUAAAACUUGAAAUGAACAGUAAUACAAUUAAAAUGUGUGAAAUUCA